AACGCACAUUGCGCCCUCUGGUAUUCCGGAGGGCAUGCCUGUCCGAGCGUCAUUUGCAACCCUCAAGCACGGCUUGUAGUUGGGUCGACGUACCGACGAGUCACCCCCUGGGGCGAUCGUGGGUGCGGGCCUGAAAUGCAGUGGCGGCGUCACGGCUCGAUCCGCAAGCGUAUGGGGCUCUGUCACACGCUGAGCGGUCGCGCGUACCGACGCUGGCCUUUCUUUAGUGUCUUCUAAGGUUGACCUCGGAUCAGGUAGGGAUACCCGCUGAACUUAA
rnacentral:misc_RNA from 1 species